rnacentral:rRNA from 1 species
AUUGAACGCUGGCGGCAUGCUUUACACAUGCAAGUCGAGCGGCAGCGCGGGGUUCAGGCAACUGAGCCCUGGCGGCGAGCGGCGAACGGGUGAGUAAUACAUCGGAACGUACCCAGGAGUGGGGGAUAGCCCGGCGAAAGCCGGAUUAAUACCGCAUACGAUCUGUGGAUGAAAGUGGGGGACCUAAGGGCAACUGAGGGCCUCACGCUUUUGGAGCGGCCGAUGUCCGAUUAGCUAGUUGGUGGGGUAAAGGCCUACCAAGGCGACGAUCGGUAGCUGGUCUGAGAGGAUGAUCAGCCACACUGGGACUGAGACACGGCCCAGACUCCUACGGGAGGCAGCAGUGGGAAUUUUGGACAAUGGGGCAACCCUGAUCCAGCCAUGCCGCGUGCGGGAAGAAGGCCUCGG